rnacentral:rRNA from 1 species
GACGAACGCUGGCGGCGUGCUUAACACAUGCAAGUCGAACGGAAAGGCCCUGCUUUUGUGGGGUGCUCGAGUGGCGAACGGGUGAGUAACACGUGAGUAACCUGCCCUUGACUUUGGAAUAACUUCAGGAAACUGGGGCUAAUACCGGAUAGGAGCUCCUGCUGCAUGGUGGGGGUUGGAAAGUUUCGGCGGUUGGGGAUGGACUCGCGGCUUAUCAGCUUGUUGGUGGGGUAGUGGCUUACCAAGGCUUUGACGGGUAGCCGGCCUGAGAGGGUGACCGGCCACAUUGGGACUGAGAUACGGCCCAGACUCCUACGGGAGGCAGCAGUGGGGAAUAUUGCACAAUGGGCGGAAGCCUGAUGCAGCAACGCCGCGUGCGGGAUGACGGCCUUCGGGUUGUAAACCGCUUUCGCCUGUGACGAAGCGUGAGUGACGGUAAUGGAUAAAGAAGCACCGGCUAACUACGUG